UACAGAGGUCCCAAGCGUUGUUCGGAUUCACUGGGCGUAAAGGGUGCGUAGGUGGCCGGGUAAGUUUGACGUGAAAUCUCCGGGCUUAACUCGGAAAAUGCGUUGAAUACUAUCCGGCUGGAGGUUCGGAGGGGGGACUGGAAUUCUCGGUGUAGCAGUGAAAUGCGUAGAUAUCGAGAGGAACACCAGUGGCGAAGGCGAGUCCCUGGACGACACCUGACACUGAGGCACGAAAGCCGGGGGAGCAAACAGG
rnacentral:rRNA from 1 species